rnacentral:rRNA from 1 species
UACGGAGGGCGCAAGCGUUGUUCGGAAUUACUGGGCGUAAAGCGUACGCAGGCGGCUUUGCAAGACAGGUGUGAAAUCCCCGGGCCUAACCUGGGAACUGCAUUUGUGACUGCAUAGCUAGAGUUUGUCAGAGGGGGGUGGAAUUCCACGUGUAGCAGUGAAAUGCGUAGAUAUGUGGAGGAACACCGAUGGCGAAGGCAGCCCCCUGGGAUGUGACUGACGCUCAUGUACGAAAGCGUGGGGAGCAAACAGG